rnacentral:rRNA from 1 species
GAUGAACGCUGGCGGCGUGCCUAAUACAUGCAAGUCGAGCGAACGGACGAGAAGCUUGCUUCUCUGAUGUUAGCGGCGGACGGGUGAGUAACACGUGGAUAACCUACCUAUAAGACUGGGAUAACUUCGGGAAACCGGAGCUAAUACCGGAUAAUAUUUUGAACCGCAUGGUUCAAAAGUGAAAGACGGUCUUGCUGUCACUUAUAGAUGGAUCCGCGCUGCAUUAGCUAGUUGGUAAGGUAACGGCUUACCAAGGCAACGAUGCAUAGCCGACCUGAGAGGGUGAUCAGCCACACUGGAACUGAGACACGGUCCAGACUCCUACGGGAGGCAGCAGUAGGGAAUCUUCCGCAAUGGGCGAAAGCCUGACGCAGCAACGCCGCGUGAGUGAUGAAGGUCUUCGGAUCGUAAAACUCUGUUAUUAGGGAAGAACAUAUGUGUAAGUAACUGUGCACAUCUUGACGGUACCUAAUCAGAAAGCCACGGCUAACUUCGUG